CUUUAGUGAGUAUAGUUUUGUGCGUUUACCUUCCAAGUAAAAAGACUGGGUAGUCCAGACUAAAGA
rnacentral:tRNA from 1 species